AUCUAGCUGACGAGUCCCAAACAAGACGAAACGCGCGUCCUGGAU
rnacentral:hammerhead_ribozyme from 1 species